rnacentral:rRNA from 1 species
UACGGAGGGUGCAAACGUUGCUCGGAAUCAUUGGGCGUAAAGCGCAUGUAGGCGGACUGAUAAGUCGGGUGUGAAAUCCCUCAGCUUAACUGAGGACGUGCAUUCGAAACUGACAGUCUUGAAUAUGGAAGAGGGUCGCGGAAUUCCCGGUGUAGAGGUGAAAUUCGUAGAUAUCGGGAGGAACACCAGUGGCGAAGGCGGCGACCUGGUCCAAUAUUGACGCUGAGAUGCGAAAGCGUGGGGAGCAAACAGG